GGGGCCGUAGCUCAGCUGGGAGAGCACCUGCUUUGCAAGCAGGGGGUCGUCGGUUCGAUCCCGUCCGGCUCC
rnacentral:tRNA from 1 species